CUUUCGUUUAAUUUGCUUAAAAGUGGGGUUUACGGUUUUAUUUAUGGGCUUCUUUCUUAUUUUCUUGGGCUGUUAAAAAAACAACGUACGCCUCUUGCAUUCAUCUUCUUCAAGAAUGGGGAUGUCGACAUCUAGGGUUCAUCGUUCUGCGAUCUCUGUCUAGCUCAAGCAACAAUGGUGUCCUCGAGAGGGUUCUUCAUGAUGAAUCUAUGAAUCGAAACCGUUUCGUCUUAGAUUCAUCUCGUACAAACCGUUAUGGAAUGCAUUGAUUCAUCGUCAUUAACUACCGUCUUAACUCCUUUGACCCAAUCCAAACAAGAUUCCUCAUUCAAUUCAUCUUCCCUCAUCACAAGGCGGCGGUGGCUCUAUAGCUAUAAAAAGGUUCUGUUAACGCACACUGGCUCAACACCUUCAAACAGGAAGGCUCGAUGUACUCUGUUACUGGGUUCAACGUUACACGUAGCAACCAAAAAUUCAAAGGGAUGUAUCGGGUUGGCUUCGUGUGUUCAAUGAAUUGGCUACUGCAUUUCUUGAAAAUUACAGAGCUAGGGCCUAGACCCAAAGGUUAUUGUGUCAGCCCAAAAAUUGUUGGAGGUAGUUAUACUUAUGUUGUUUGAUUGCUGGUUUUUCAGAGAAUUGCUUAUAUGUUUUUAUUUAUUUAAUUACAUAUCAAACAAUCUCUACAACUCUCUGUAACUGAUAUACAAUUCAUAUGCAUGUUGGUUAUUCCCGAACGCAACUUCUCGCACCUAUCUCUACUUUGACAAGGUGGCAGCAGCUGGCAACAAUUAUUUUCGGAGUGCUUUAGGUUGGAGUCUAAUGCCGGCAUAAACCCAAUAACUGCUCUGUCUGUUUUUUUUUUAAUUUCUGGGACAGUCAUUACUUCCCAUUUCUUCAGCCCUAUGCUUAAUUUCUCUCACCUUUUCUGAAAUCAAGUUGCAGCACUUUUACAAUGAACUUGUGGAGUACAAGCUCAUUCUUGACAAGGCUGGUGAUUUUUUGCUUCAGCCAGAAGUCUUACCGCUCAACAGAGUGAGAUAGAAUCACAACAAGUGGGUGAAGAGUAAGACGCACUCGAGGCUUUUUGCUGCAGGAAGAGCAGUCUGUUGGUCCAACAAAGCAAGUAAAGCUUGGAUUCCUCAUCGGGCUGGUGCCACGCGAAAGUCUAUGGUGUUAGAGAGGAUCCUAUUUUGCGCAGCUAGGAGCAACAUCUUUAUACGAAGUCGACAAUGUAUCAUUGAGGAGUUCGUUGUUGAUCCCAACUCUGUGGAGAAGGCUAGCUUCUUAUUUUCCACACAGCUUCUCCUAGACAUUAAAAGUGCGGCAUUUUUCUAUGCAGGAAUUUGAAUGCUUUCUUAACGUAUAUUUGUUCCCUCAUAGGCUCAUGCAAUUUAGAGUCUAAAUUCCAUAUGUAGUUUCUACGUUCUCAUAUGCAUAUGCUUAUAUUUGACAUUUUUUCUAUUUCUGUUGUUUUAUUUCUGUUCUGGUGAUCUACCUAGCCAAUAAUUAUUUGACAUGGAAUGUUGAUUUUUGCUGAAAAAAAUAUAUUUAUUCUGUUUUUCUCUA